AUUGAACGCUGGCGGCAUGCUUUACACAUGCAAGUCGAACGGUAACAGGGUGCUUGCACCGCUGACGAGUGGCGAACGGGUGAGUAAUGCGCCAGAACGUGCCGAGUAGUGGGGGAUAACGCAGCGAAAGUUGUGCUAAUACCGCAUACGUACUGAGGUAGAAAGUGGGGGACCUUCGGGCCUCACGCUAUUCGAGCGGCCGACGUCUGAUUAGCUAGUAGGUGAGGUAAAGGCUCACCUAGGCGACGAUCAGUAGCGGGUCUGAGAGGAUGAUCCGCCACACUGGGACUGAGACACGGCCCAGACUCCUACGGGAGGCAGCAGUGGGGAAUUUUGGACAAUGGGCGAAAGCCUGAUCCAGCCAUGCCGCGUGUCUGAAGAAGGCCUUCGGGUUGUAAAGGACUUUUGUCAGGGAGGAAAUCCCUAGUGCUAAUAACACUGGGGGAUGACAGUACCUGAAGAAUAGGCACCGGCUAACUACGUGCCAGCAGCCGCCGUAACAC
rnacentral:rRNA from 1 species